rnacentral:misc_RNA from 1 species
GGAGACUUACAAGGAUCAGCAUCAACUGGAUCUGGCGUCCAUUUUUCCCAGUCCUCGUCCUCUUCGUCAACUGAACUCUCUUCCAACUGUAGUGAUUCACCUUUGACCAAUUCAUCAGCUAAAUCACUAGGUGAAUCAUCCAGCAAACCGCUGACCACACAUCUCACUGUAUCUUCCCUACUCCUCAAAUAUUGCCUGAUUGACCAUUCCAAAGAAUUUUUCAAUCUCAAAUACGGUUGCGUGACAGUUUCCAAAAGAACUCCCGUAGGGUCCAAUUGUCUCAAUGCUUUUAUAGCAGCUAUAUAAGCCGUCAAUAUAUCCGGAGUGUUCACUCCUGGAUGCAGAAGUCUUGUUUUUAAAGCAUCUUGCAAACUUUCUACUAAUGUUUUCCGCAAAUCUGUUCGUUCCAAACCAACCCGCAAAUCUUCUAUUGCUGGCUGUGACUCAGGGUAUUCUAAAAUUUCAUUACUCAUUGCAAUGGAUUUGACAUUGGGUUCAAAUUAGCCAGGAAGCUAACUACUGAUUUUUGGUGAUUUGAUUUUUACCAAUAAUAAUAUUAAAUAGUUGAUCAAUCCUUGUACGAGUAUAAGUUUUGUAUAGAAAAUGGGACAAUUUAUAUUUGAAUUUAUUGAUAGCUUCUCGUGUUUCACCACUCAAAGAUGGAGAUUUAGAUGAGCCGCCAGAAUAUAUCCGUGUUAACCAGCUCAUAACAACCGUUUCCAAC